rnacentral:rRNA from 1 species
UACGUAGGGGGCUAGCGUUGCUCGGAAUCACUGGGCGUAAAGGAUGCGUAGGCGGGUUUUUAAGUCAGGGGUUAAAUCCUGGAGCUCAACUCCAGAACUGCCUUUGAUACUGAGGAUCUUGAGUUCGGGAGAGGUGAGUGGAACUGCGAGUGUAGAGGUGAAAUUCGUAGAUAUUCGCAAGAACACCAGUGGCGAAGGCGGCUCACUGGUCCGAUACUGACGCUGAGGCACGAAAGCGUGGGGAGCAAACAGG